rnacentral:lncRNA from 1 species
AUUAAUCGUCCUUAUAUGUACUCGGGAACGUUCGUCCUUUAGGUUUUCUCCUGGCGCAUGGGCGCCGCCAAUCAUUUCGGGGCUUAUUUUGGUUCUAAAGCCCGGGGCAGCCAGGCCUCCCUGCCUGGCCUCGGCGGGGACGCGGGACCUGGGGCCCCGGACCGGGCCUAACCGCCCUGGCCGGUCCCCACUGAUGGUGGCGGUCGGUCCUGAUCGUCCUGAUGGCAGCGACCAGGCUGGACUCGGGCUGUGCAGGGGCGAGGGGAGCAGGGCGGGGUGACGCCCGGAGAGCGGCCUGGAGAGCGCGUGCUUCAGAAGGCGUGGGCACCCUGUCCCCUUUGCAGAUGGGGAUGCAGGCCCUGGUGGCGGUGGAGGGGAGAUGGGGGCAGGGACGUUGCCGGGCAGAGGAAGCUGGCCAUUCCUGGGGGAUUCCUGGGAGCCAUGUGGGAGAGGCGUGAGGAAGUGAGACCUUCACCCCGAGACAGGUCCUGACACACCCUCUGGUGCCUCUACUCAAGUGAGAAGUUUGGCUGCUGUAACUGACUGGGAAGCUUAAAAUAACAGACAAUCAUCUCUCACAUUUAUGGGGACUGGGAAGUCCAAGACCAAGUUGCCAUCUGGGGAGGGCCUGUUCCUCACAGCGCCUUCCAGCUCAGGCCUCGUUUAUAAGGGCACUCAAGCCUUCCACGACAACGGGUCCUCAUGACUUACUCACCUCGGAAAGCCCCACCCCCAAGACCAUCACAUUGUGGGUGAUGGCAGAGCAUAAGGUGCCUUCCCCACAUGCUCGGGUUGGCCCAGCGUCUCACGCUAGCAGCUACGUGGAAUAGUUAUUUUUUCUGGAGAACUCUGGGACCCCUCUGAUGUCUUGGAGCACCCACACAGGCCGUUCACUGUGCACGCUGUGAGGCUGUCGUCUUGGAGCACCCACACAGGCCGUUCACUGUGCACGUGGUGAGGCUGUCCUCUGGGGAGUUCUGCUGUUGUAUGGGUUCUGUCUGUGUCAAUGUCCCAGCGGGAACGCAGGGCACACUAGCGUCAUCCCCAGAGGGCUUGGUAAGGGGACUGUUUGCAGAGACAUAGGCAGAGGGCUGGAAAACUACCAAAAAAGUGCAGUGUUCUGGACCUAAUAAUAGCAGAGCUAUUCUCACCCUGGUCUGAAGGCAGGAGGGGAGGAGCAGUUAAUGGAUUCUGGAAGUCAGGUUGCACAGAGUCACCUUGAAAGAUGCCAUGACCUUCACCGAGGGCCAGACAGAGACUAAGAUGACCCCAUAGGAGAAUAAGACCUAGACCUCAUCCUCCUGCCUCCUGCCAGUCCCUGCCAGGGGUCGCCAAUGGCAAAACAGGACUGGAAGCCAGAGGCCAUGGAAGCCCAUGGAUGAAGUCCACAGGCCAGCCUCCCCGAGAGCAGCCUGGACGGUCCGCAGGAGACGUCUCCUGUCUUAGGCGUCCCACGCCGCGUGCUCCUGUUCAGCCCUGCCGAGGUGGAAGCUUGGAGUGGCUCACGGUGGAUGCAUUGACGCUGCAGACGCCAGCAAGUGCUACAAACCAGAGCUGGCCUUUAACUCAGACUGAUGGAGAAGGUGUUAAUAAUGCAGAUUAGACUUAAAAGUGUUGAAGCCAUUGCACUGUGAACAGCAAAAAAAUUGAAGAACUCUUCUGGCAUUUAAAAACAAUUACUCAGUUCAGCAGAGAAGUCACUGACAAACGAGAUCACACUGACUGCUUUGUCGUUUUGGUUUUGUCUUACUCAUUAAUGCAAAUAAGAACAUUCACUAGCAUCUGUGUCGGGCCUACCCUCCCUGGUCAAAUACAGCUACAGUCUCCCUGCAGAAACGAGUUUUCCAGAAAUGAGCCGAUGUUUUCUGCGAGAAUCAAUUGGUCAUAUACAAUUUACAAAAAUGAGUACUGUAUACUAUAUUUGUAAACUGUACACUGCAGAUGCUUUAUUUCACUGAAAUUUAUAAUACACUUAUCCAUGUAUAUGCAUGCAUGCAUUUUUGUUCCUGAGAUCCAGCUGUGAAAUGUUUACCAGCACAUAAAUUACCAGCACAUGCUCUUUUUUGUUAACCUACUAGGUAAAAUCUUCAUUUAUUACAUCAAAUUCUUGUAGUUUUUGUAUUGCAAUUAUGCAGAUAUUGAUUAUCGCAGUAUUACUGCAAUUAUACAGAUACCACAAUUUCAGAUAUUGAUCAGCGUGUUCAGUUGGUUUCUAAGGAGGUUUACUUACCUCAUGGUACACCUAGUUUGCAUAGUUUGAUUAUAUUUAACUCUUAUGCUAAUUGGGGGAAGUCAUUGAUUUAUUGGACAGAUGCACCUGUGGUCUUCCCUGAGCACAUCCUGGCCAAGGAUGCUGCCCCCAGGAGAUUUGAGAAGUCCUGUAAGGAUCAUAUCAGUAUUUUCAAAUACUUAUAGAAAAGCCAGAGGGAUUGACCCAGAAUUACCAAUAUAAGCUUGACCCUGAGAUAACAAUGCCAUUUUAUGUUUGCAUGCAUAAAACCAAUGCAAGAGGCUGAUGACUCCAGAUCCCUUAUAUAAGCCAAUAAAAAGUAGUUUCAUUUUUUAUUUCAUUUAA